GAAUAGUGUAUACGAAUUUUGUUGCAGUUAAAAAGCUCGUAGUUGAAAUUGUUUUUGUUUGCGUUGCGAGCCAGAGUGAAGCAAUUCGCUUUGUGCGGCGCGAUCGAGAAGAGAAAGUAAGAGAAGCGAUUUUUUUAUUUUAGAUUACUUUGAAUAAAUUAGAGUGUUUAAAGCAAACGGAAAUCUUGGAUUUUCAAUAGUUUGAAUAGAUUAGCAUGGGAUAAUGGAAGAGGACAUAUGCACUAGAGGUUGCAAAUUGGAAAAUAGGUUGAAUAGGUAUAUGUAAUGAUGGAUAGGAACGGUCGGGGGCACUCGUAUCAAAGCGGAAACGGUGAAAUGUAUGGAUUGCUUUGGGACGAACAACAGCGAAAGCAUUUGCCAAGCACGUGUCCAUUAA
rnacentral:rRNA from 1 species